rnacentral:rRNA from 1 species
ACAGGCUUAACACAUGCAAGUCGAGGGGCAGCAUGGUCUUAGCUUGCUAAGGCCGAUGGCGACCGGCGCACGGGUGAGUAACGCGUAUCCAACCUGCCUUACACUCUUGGACAGCCUUCUGAAAGGGAGAUUAAUACAAGAUGUUAUCAUGAGUAAGCAUUUUCGCAUGAUUAAAGGUUUACCGGUGUAAGAUGGGGAUGCGUUCCAUUAGAUAGUAGGCGGGGUAACGGCCCACCUAGUCUUCGAUGGAUAGGGGUUCUGAGAGGAAGGUCCCCCACAUUGGAACUGAGACACGGUCCAAACUCCUACGGGAGGCAGCAGUGAGGAAUAUUGGUCAAUGGACGAGAGUCUGAACCAGCCAAGUAGCGUGAAGGAUGAAGGUCCUAUGGAUUGUAAACUUCUUUUAUACGGGAAUAAACGAAUCCACGUGUGGAUUUUUGCAUGUACCGUAUGAAUAAGGAUCGGCUAACUCCGUGCCAGCAGCCGCGGUAAUACGGAGGAUCCGAGCGUUAUCCGGAUUUAUUGGGUUUAAAGGGAGCGUAGAUGGGUUGUUAAGUCAGUUGUGAAAGUUUGCGGCUCAACCGUAAAAUUGCAAUUGAUACUGGCAGUCUUGAGUACAGUUGAGGUAGGCGGAAUUCGUGGUGUAGCGGUGAAAUGCUUAGAUAUCACGAAGAACUCCGAUUGCGAAGGCAGCUUACUAACCUGUAACUGACAUUGAUGCUCGAAAGUGUGGGUAUCAAACAGGAUUAGAUACCCUGGUAGUCCACACGGUAAACGAUGAAUACUCGCUGUAGGCGAUAUACAGUCUGCGGCCAAGCGAAAGCAUUAAGUAUUCCACCUGGGGAGUACGCCGGCAACGGUGAAACUCAAAGGAAUUGACGGGGGCCCGCACAAGCGGAGGAACAUGUGGUUUAAUUCGAUGAUACGCGAGGAACCUUACCUGGGCUUAAAUUGCAACCGAAUAUGGCGGAAACGCUAUAGCUAGCAAUAGCGGUUGUGAAGGUGCUGCAUGGUUGUCGUCAGCUCGUGCCGUGAGGUGUCGGCUUAAGUGCCAUAACGAGCGCAACCCUUGCCGAUAGUUACUAACAGGUUAUGCUGAGGACUCUGUCGGGACUGCCAUCGUAAGAUGUGAGGAAGGUGGGGAUGACGUCAAAUCAGCACGGCCCUUACGUCCGGGGCUACACACGUGUUACAAUGGGGGGUACAGAGGGCUGCUACCACGCAAGUGGAUGCCAAUCCCAAAAACCUCUCUCAGUUCGGAUUGAAGUCUGCAACCCGACUUCAUGAAGCUGGAUUCGCUAGUAAUCGCGCAUCAGCCACGGCGCGGUGAAUACGUUCCCGGGCCUUGUACACACCGCCCGUCAAGCCAUGGGAGCCGGGGGUACCUGAAGUGCGUAACCGCAAGGAGCGCCCUAGGGUAAAACUGGUGACUGGGGCUAAGUCAUA